GCUACGGAGGAGGGCUCUGCAGGGGAGCUGGUGAGGGGGUUUUCCGCCUAGCCGUUAAGAGACCUCACCGACAGCGAGGAAAGGAAAUCCAAGAAAGCAAGAGGGCCUCAAGAUUCCCCGCGGGAUGAUAAAGGCAGUUAGUGUUUAGGGUGGCAAUGCUUAUACCGAGUUUCAGCCAAAAAGAGGUUCUCAAAACGGGUGAAACAGCAAAAGCUGCGAGAGACUUGCUCGGUCCGUACCCAAACGGCUCAAGGAAACUCGCUAGGGAGUCAUGAAGAGAGGAGUUCCCCUGUCCCUUCCGUCUGACAAGCUGCAGAAAGGUCAUCACUUUCGCCUGAUCACACACACGGAAGGAGUCUUGUAGCGCCUUGAAAACGAACGGACUGAUUGCUGGCUGCGGCACGGGCUUCCGCGGAGGAGCGCAUCUCCAUGCAUUCGGUUUAUCAUGCCACAAUCAGUCCGUUCGCCUCCAAAGGCAGCGGCGCAAGCACUUUUUCCUGCUGCCCGGGCUCGGCUACCUCCUUACCAGCUUGCCGGAUCGCUCCCGCGCCUUCUUCACCUUGCCGUAGGUGCCUUUGCCCAGCGUCUCGAGGAACUCGUAGCGGUGCCGGAGGUUGUGCUUGUGGUAGUGGCGCUUCACCGCCUGCUUCUUCAUCAGGGGCUUGGGGGAACUAAGGGGCCCUUCCUUCAGCAGCGAGGAGGGCGCCGCCGCCGCGGGAUCCGAGACGUUGGAAUCUCCGAAGAUAAAUGACUGCUCGGGUUGCAUCGAACCUCCAGAUGAGUAUCCAGUAGUUAAAGAAUAUGGAACCCAAAUGAUGGAUCUAUUUGUUGGCUCUGUAGCAGGACCUAAACAAGUGUAGUCAUUGGUGAAAAAUGUCCCUGUUUCCUAUGCAGACUACAAAUGCAAUCUAAUCCUGUUCAUUUUAUUUCAAACUAAUGGAACUUACUUCCAAGUAAGUCUGCAUCAGACUGCAGCCUUCACAUUUGCAUUAUUCUUUAGUUGUGGCUUCUUUUUAUGUUAUUUAAUAAAAACCUGCUUGGAUAAAAACAAAACACUGUGUACCCAUCUAAUAUGAAAAGUAUGUUGCAGGUUUAAACUAAACACUUCUCUGAGUUUGUAAUUAUUUUGGUCUUUGCUGAGAUGUAGAUAGGUUAGACCUGCAGAUCAUGGUGGCUGUAACUUUUUUGAUAGGCUUUCCCCUCCUCUGUUAUAUUUUCUUGUAUUAACAAACAAUUACAAUUAGAAGAAGAUAAACAACUAUGAAAAUGCACCCCAAACCCUUUAGGUACUGGGUAUAUGUUUAAGAAAUCUAAAUAAUAAAAACAACACUUACAGUUUAUAUUUCCUUCUUUUUUAAAAUGGAAUUUAAGAGAGAAUAGCUGCAAUGACUGCCACAUUGUGGCUUCAGAUCUUAAGAGGAAAGUUCCAAGGGCAGUCAAAACAAAAGCUUCAGCCUAACUUUGGCAUGUGAGGUCAUCACAUUGAUUGUAGAAAGAGAUAACUGCAGGGUUACUCAUCCAGACCUGGAUUUUCCCAGAACUUCAAAGGGCUCUGGGCUGGGAUAACAUAUAUCAGAACACACCAACACAUACAAUCAAGGCAGAUCAAACAAAAAAUAAUUCAAUUAAUUAAUUCAAUUGGUUUUAACCAAAAAAUAAUCCAAUCAGUUCAGUGCCAGAUAGGAUUGAAUAAGGUCAUUUGUAACAUCAAAAAACUUCAAUCAUUAACUGUUAGUAGUGUUAUUUUCAGUAUUGAUUUGGUAUUCUUAGAAUCUCUUCAUGAAAGAGAUGAAUACAGACAAUGGCUAACAUAUUGCUCUCCUGAAUCAUCCAUUGUAUGGCUGUGGGGAACCCUAAACAGAUCCUCUCUCUGGCUAAUUAUUUUUAUAAGCUUCCCCUCCCUAAUCUUCAUUGCGCCUUUACUGCCCCUGAUAGAAUCAGGCAUGACUGAAUCAGUUGAACAUGUGUUGUUUUAUUGUUUAUUGUUUACAGAUAUAUGCUCCUCUUUUAUAGGUUCAGUUCUGAUACAGUAUUCAGGCAGACCAGAUUAUUUUUAUGUGAAUCAUCUUCUCUGCAAUGUUGAUGCCAAGAUGACCUAUCACGUGGUCAGAUUUUGCAUGGCAGCCUGUAUUAUCAGAAAGCAAUUGGUAAAUGUCCCUAUAAGUAUGUAAGACAUAGGUCAUUGUGAUGCCAGGUUGGUAGAGUUUAGCAAUAUUAUUAUUUGAACAUUUCAGGUUGGUAUCCCUGGAACUGUUAUUGUUGUAUGUGCUAUUUGAUCUUGGACUGUAAUAAAGGAAUUUUGAAUCUGA